rnacentral:lncRNA from 1 species
AUAUUAACUGCUAGAGGUAUCUUGGCAUAAUGAUCAACAUUGAUAAUAAGAACAUGUCCAAUAACAAACCUAUCUUUGGAUAAAUUUUAUUAUUGACAUGUAAAACCUUAUAAUUAUCACACGAUACCAUCACAGGUGCGUAUACAAUCUGGCCAAAUAUUAAUCUUCCUUUGGGCUGACCAAUACUCGCAUGACAAUAUAUAAACACGAACAUUCAUAAUUUCUCUAUGAACUACUCCAAAUAAAAAAAAUACUCACUUUGGUGAUUUCUUAAUUAUCAAUAACUCACAAAAAAAUUAUAAAUAAGACCAAUAUUUAAAUUUUAUUUAUUCCUCAAUAAUUAUUAAUUUUAUCCAAUGACCCA